GAAAUUGGAGAGAAAUCUCUUUUUCCGAGGACACAGAAAGAUUGUAUUUUUUUCAUUAACAGAGGUGAAUUUGGGUGGGGGGGAGGGAGAAGCGGGAUGU